GUGCUCGAUUCAGCAGCACAUAUACUGAAAUUGGAACGAUACAAAGAAGAUUAGCAUGGCCCCUGUGCGAAGAUGACAUGCAAAUUCGUGAAGCAUUCCAUAUUAAA